AUAAUUUCUGACAACAUGUAUUCAGAUUGCUCCUACACUGAGGCAAGUCAACAUUCAAUGUUGCAACUGAGCAUCCAAAUCUGGAGAUUUGAUAUGUUAGCAGAGAUGGAAGAAUUAUGAGAAAAAGGAGGCUAAUGCUACAUUGUUUUAAAAAUACUACCUGAACUAUUUUUCUUCAUGCUUUGCAGCUGUAUUUGCUAUUUUACUUUUAUAAGUGCCAUAGAAGUUUGACUUAAUGUAUGUUAUUAAUUAUUUGUUUAUAUUUGUGUGUUUGUAAUAUAUCGAAAACAGAUACUCUAACACAGAGAGGAAGGGAAGCUUUGCAUUAUUUAACAUAGUCAAUAACUGCUUUAAAAAAGACUAUUGAUAGUUUCCUUCUUCAGAUAAAGAAUUGAUGUUCUGAAAUUGAAAUACAACCUUUGGCAUAAAAACAAAGGUCUUCUUGUCCAGCAUUCUCUUUCCCACAGUGACCAAAAAUGUAUCUAGGCAGCAGGUCAGGAACACAUGAACAUUAAUGCCAAACCACUAGUGUUUAGAUGGAAUAGAAACAUUGAUAUUGGAUAUAAAAUAUCUUAGACGCAUGCAGCCGCUUUGCGCACACCCCAAAUUUAAUUGUACAUGAAGCCAAUUAUGUUGAUCGUAAAUCUUUGACUUUCUGCUUUUAAUAUUUUCAACUACUGAUUUUAAUGUUUUAAUGCUUCAAACUUCUGGUCCGAGACUGUAACAUUCAUUCAUUCAUUCAUUCACAUCAGAAAAUAUAUUUUUAAUUAUGGUUGUAGAAAUAUCAGUCGUUGAACUGAAAUGAAGACCCACUUACUGGUUUUUAAAAUGUAUGCAUAUAAACCUUUUUGAACAUGUACAAUGCAGGUGAAAUUUAAGUGUAAAAUGUAUUCUACAUCCAUCUUCUCAACUGCCUCUUUUGUUGACAUCUACACAUGGUGGCAAGAGUCUGAAGGUGGCUCCAGUCAUUCAGAGACUCACAUCAUUCAGAGACUGAUUUUCCGAGGUAACAGAUGGCAUGGAGUUAAGGAGGUUCUCCCUUUCGGACUGUCACUCUUCCAGCUCUAACCCUGUAGGAAGCCAGUGUGAAGACAAGGAUUUGAAUCCAAGCUUAGCCAUGGAAAACCUUCAGGGCUAGGUAACUACACUGAGUGUGAGCAUUCAGUUUCUUUCUCCAUGACAUCCACAACUCGGGGGAGGGGGAACCUGUCCAAAUCUGGAAGUGUACAAAGAAGAUAUGUGCAGUGUGCAGUUCAUGGGGUUUUUUUCACAUUGAAGUCCAGCCCUCCAAUAGUCUGAGGAAGAAAAGGGAGGAAAUUAAAAUAGAAUACAGUGUUCCCUCACUACUUUGCAGUUCAUUUUUUGUGGAUUUGCUGUUUCACAGUUUUUCAAUAAACUCUAAAAGAAUAUUAUAAAUCAUAAAAAUUACAAUUUACAGCCUAAGGAAGGGAGGAAGGAGAAGCCGAAGGGAGAGAAAAGGAGCCCAAGCAGCAACGGGGGGAGAAGGAGGUGAUUUAUCAACACACGAUUGGUUGAUAAAGACUUAAAAUAGUGUAUAACUACUAAAAUAAUGUAUAAAUAUUAAAAUAAAUAUAGCAUCCCUACUUUGUGGAUUUUCACUUAUUGCGGGUAGUUCUGGAACAUAACCCCCGUGAUAAGUGAGGGAACACUGUAUAUAGAUUUGUGUAUUCCGGUUAGUUUAUAUUCCAGAUAAUGUGGUCAAGUUUUUUCCUUUGAAAGAUCAACUAUUAGUCAGUUAGAAAGCUAAGGUCAAGGAACACAUUAUAUCAGCAUUGGAGAGUCCUGAGCAUAUACAAUGAAGUGGUGAUACACUCUUCUUUGAUCAAUGGGAACCAACAAACCUGGGUAGGAACAAUUUUUCUUGACUCUGGGUACAUUCAUUGACAAAGAAAAUAUUGUAGAAUGGACAGAUGUGUGGAGCAAGCAAACUUUACAGCUCUGCAUAAUUUGGUUCAAGGAUUAUAUAGAGUGCAUUUAGAAAAAAUGUGACAGGACCAGCACUGAACCUUGAAAAUAAGCAGCAGCUCUAUGAAGUAUGUCAGCAUGAAUAUUAACCUCCUCGCUUGGCUAGUGACAGUUUUCUUAAUGUCUCCUUAGACUGUGACAUUAAACAGGUGACUAACAUUCUGAAGAAGUAACCCAAUAUCUUCUUUUAUAUUAUUCUAUGCAGUGGCUGCAUUUUUCAUUAAUCUAAAGUGAUGCAUCUAAUGAUUUACUUCAGAAGAACAAAGAUGGAGAAAAUACGUUUUUCUUAGGGUCAAAGAGGGAAAGAUUUAACUCUGACAAAGCACCCACUACUUGUACAGAGCGAAUAGGAUUUCCCUCUUGGGUUCAAUAUCUUUAAGAUUAUUCACUAACAUUGAGGAAAGAAAAUUUUAAUUAUAACCAAAAAGAUACAGCUCUUUAUUUGCAAACAUUAUUCAUGUUUCCUGUUGCUCCGAUGUAUCUUUGGUCCCUUGAGUAUUUCUUUGUUUUAGUCUAACUUGAAUUAGCGUGUUUGAUAAUUAUAAUAAUGUUGCAUGCAACCCAGCAAGGCAGAAGCUUUACAUGUGUAUAGCAAAUGCAUAUUUAUUUGAAUAUGUAGCUUUGCCUAUGUGAUAAUGCUUUUUAAAAGGUUCUGUUGUAAAAUCUUUUUCUAUGCUGCUGGAAAUGAAAAUGAAAAUAUUGGUGAAAAAACAUACAUUUUCUUUAAAAGUUGGGAUUGCUGUUCCGCUAUGUUCCAGAUCCUAUGAAUUAUUGUUCUUCAUUAAGGCAAAUCAAGAAAAGAGAUUGAAAUAACAGUCAGGGGUUAUCAAUAUGCCCAACAAUCCUUUUAAACGGAAGUAAAUUGUAUCAUUGACAGCUAGUAGCUUCCAAGUCAUCUGUUCCAUAUUUUAGUUUGAACUUUAAAGAUACCAUCCAAAGUGCUGAACUCUGGCCCAAAAUAGAUUUAUUAUUUUUUAUUUUUAAAAUGGUCAAAAAAAAAGGAAUGUGAUCUAUAUUUGCAUCAUUUCCCCCAUAUUUAUGUACAACAUUACAUUUUUCUAAUUGUACAAAUUCAUUUUGAUUUUUAUGGAUUUGUUUCAGCUAUGCAUACAUUCAGGCCACAUUCAUAAGAUGAGAGAUGAUGACAGAAAUUUGAACUGGAAUUCAAAUUUACAGCCAGGCUCAACAAUAUAUCCCUUUGGUAUCAGUUCUUUACUAUUGACUGGUAUUGAAAUCACAGCAUUGGAGUCCAACUUGAAAACUGCACAAUGAAAAAUAAGCAAACAAAGAGGAAAAGGUUAACUAUGUCAUACUUGGACAACUCAUCUGAAUACUUAUAUUCUAGUUGUCUGCCUUUGAUGGACUGCAUCUUCUCUUUCCCUGAUGGAUGUGCAAGAUCAUUAAAAUUAUUUAAAGUUAUGGGAAUCAAAGAUAGCCAUUUACUCUUACCGGUGAACACCAAGGACACCCUUUAUGAUUCUCAGGAACUCUGCAGAAAACAUGAAUUUGUUUCCAGUCGGGCAUUUCUGUUACAAAAGAAAAGGAAAUCUGACUCUCUAGGCCACAGGUGAGUAACUGCACAAAUAGUGAGCCCAACCUUUACCUUCACACUCCCAAUGGUGACUACUAAUAAUCAUAUUCAGCCAGAUUU